GAUUGAACGCUGGCGGCAGGCCUAACACAUGCAAGUCGAACGCGAAAGCACUUCGGUGUGAGUAGAGUGGCGGACGGGUGAGUAACGCGUGGGAAUCUACCUAGUAGUGGAGGAUAACUCGGGGAAACUCGAGCUAAUACUGCAUACGCCCUACGGGGGAAAGCGGGGGAUCUUCGGACCUCGUGCUAUUGGAUGAGCCCGCGUUAGAUUAGCUUGUUGGUGAGGUAAUGGCUCACCAAGGCGACGAUCUAUAGCUGGUCUGAGAGGAUGAUCAGCCACAUUGGGACUGAGACACGGCCCAAACUCCUACGGGAGGCAGCAGUGGGGAAUAUUGCGCAAUGGGCGAAAGCCUGACGCAGCCAUGCCGCGUGUGUGAAGAAGGCCUUCGGGUUGUAAAGCACUUUCAAUAGGGAGGAAAGGUUGUAACUUAAUACGUUGCAACUGUGACGUUACCUAUAGAAGAAGGACCGGCUAACUCCGU
rnacentral:rRNA from 1 species